AAUAUUAAUCUCCGAGCUUGUUAUCCUAAUGUUUCAUUAAUAUGAGGCUAAGGGUUAGAGCCGAUAGGGUAAGAUGGGAAACUGUUUUGCCUCCCGUACUUGGAAAGGAGAAUAAGC
rnacentral:ncRNA from 1 species